CUAUAAGGCGUUCACUGGGGCAGCUGGAGAACAGUGUUUGGUUGUAUUGGCGUAUUACAAAAGUUGCCACAGUUAUCACAACAAAAUUCACUGCAAUGUUAUUUCCCAUUUGGCAAUUUGUUAUGUAAUUAAAAGUGAAUCAACUUUAAUUAUAGCUACGUGUCAUUUAUGACGCUCACACGUGAACGAUCCAAGAAAGAUUUAGAUUGGUUAAAAGACUUCGUGUCAUUCACGCGUGGUUUGUGUAAUCUCGUGACAACACUGGAAUAUGCGAAUUUCACACUCGGCAUUGUCUUCGGUUAACGCAACGAAAAAAACAAGAUAACAAACAAUGAACAUCAGAUCGGCGUCUCCAUCUUGCGUACCAAUAGGUUGGGAGAUGCUUUGUUGAAGUAGAACAGCAAACAGAAAAAUGAAACUGACUAGUGCGGCAUUGGUGAACAGUUGACACUUCAUCUCUAAUUUCUAUAUGAAGUUAAAGUUAUUCAAAAAAUGUUGUUAGUUUGUAUUUUGCCCCAAAAUGUCACAGGCUUUUAUUAAGCUUGUACUUAUAGAUCAACCGUAACUAAUUAAUACUUUGCUUAUGCUGUUAUUUAAGAUAGUCCUACAUUGCGCACUCAACUUUUGCGACGAUCGCUUUUGUGAUUGUUGGCUGAAUAAAUCACGAAGGUAAUGAAACUAAUUUCAAAUAACACAACUCGUUACCACAAAUUUAAAAUCCUUGAAAACUCAAAGACUUACCCACUAUACAAGCCGAGUUUUAAAUUAUCCGUAGCUAUUACAGUCUUCUCCUGUUAAUCGGCACUAAGUUGUGAACACAAUGUUGAGUUGUUAUUAAUGCAACAGCCCACGGACUCACAGCUGAAGUAAAAAUCCUACAAUCAAUAUCAUUAUUGAAUUUCAGCUGACGGAAGCAAUUGAAAAAUUUAUCAUUACCGAUAAAUGUAUGUCCAAUUAUGUAACUAAUUGCAACUUAUUGUUCAUUGAUCCAAUAAAAAUUCUACUUUCUUGGUUUUAA